rnacentral:rRNA from 1 species
UGGGGAAUUUUGGACAAUGGGCGAAAGCCUGAUCCAGCAAUGCCGCGUGUGUGAAGAAGGCCUUCGGGUUGUAAAGCACUUUUGUCCGGAAAGAAAUCCUUGGCUCUAAUACAGUCGGGGGAUGACGGUACCGGAAGAAUAAGCACCGGCUAACUACGUGCCAGCAGCCGCGGUAAUACGUAGGGUGCAAGCGUUAAUCGGAAUUACUGGGCGUAAAGCGUGCGCAGGCGGUUUGCUAAGACCGAUGUGAAAUCCCCGGGCUCAACCUGGGAACUGCAUUGGUGACUGGCAGGCUAGAGUAUGGCAGAGGGGGGUAGAACUCCACGUGUAGCAGUGAAAUGCGUAGAGAUGUGGAGGAAUACCGAUGGCGAAGGCAGCCCCCUGGGCCAAUACUGACGCUCAUGCACGAAAGCGUGGGGAGCAAACAGGAUUAGAUACCCUGGUAGUCCACGCCCUAAACGAUGUCAACUAGUUGUUGGGGAUUCAUUCCUUAGUAACGUAGCUAACGCGUGAAGUUGACCGCCUGGGGAGUACGGUCGCAAGAUUAAAACUCAAAGGAAUUGACGGGGUCAUAGCUGUUUCCU